rnacentral:hammerhead_ribozyme from 1 species
AUCCAGGUGACUAGUCCAAAAUAGAACGAAACGUAUUUCCUGGAU